UCCUGUGCCCCAGGGAGAGUAUUUGCCCCAGCGGGCCCCCACACCCUCACGGCCAAAUUUAGCCUGGGCCUAGAAAGAAGGCAGACCAGCCAGCCCAUUAAAGGGCCCACGACGCUCCGGGCCUGUGCCGUCAGGCCCACCUCGGCCUAGGGCACCCCACCCUUCAGAGCUCCCGGCCCCCCACUUCCCGGAGCCCUGCUCCCAGCCCCAUUUCCCUGGACCUCCCACCGGACACAGCAUUAACACCCCAAAGUCCUUCUGGCUCCUGCCCCCAGACUCCUCCCCUGAGGGACCUCUGUACUUUCGCCUCUCCACCCUUAAAUCCUGUCCCUUCAUCCUGGGCCUCCUCCCAGAAGAAAGCCCCAACUUGCCCACAAGGAGAAGAAUCCAGAUUACUGCUGCUGCCAUGGCUGCCCCAGCCUGCCCGGCCCCCGCUCUGUUCCGGCAACUACAACUUGGCCAGGACACUGCUUACCUCUCGACGCCCUUGUGAGGAAGCCUCAACAUCAUGAACUCUGGCGCAUGCGUACAGAGCACCUACCGCGUGCCAGACACAGAGGAAGCCUCGACGGGCAGCACCCUGCCCCCCACGGAGCUUGCACACCACCGAGCAGGUGAGGCAAAGGCGGAUGGAGGAAGGGAACUCUGAGAGCCGGUCUCCUCCUCAGGCACCCACUGCACAAGAUCCAGAGAGCAGAUGAAAAACAGAAGCCACCAUCCAAACAGAGGAACGUAUAUUAUUAGCAGUUGGAGCAGGCACUGGCGUCCUUCGAAUCUGCUGCCGACCAACUAUAUUGCCCAAUCCUUCCGGUUAAUUUUUUUCUUUGACCUCCCUGCAUGUCUCUGGAGCUCCCACAGCUAUGGCUGUCUGCGUUGCAAAAUACAUAUUUACAGGCCCUCUAAGCCUGGCUAAAUAUAGGCUUUCUUUUAAAGCAACUGAUGAGUUGGAGAAAUCUUUCUUCUGUCCCAUCCCUUCCCCACUCCCCAACACACACACACACACACACACACACACACACACUGACUCUCCUUCCACCGGUGGGCCCCAAAGGACCCCUGUCCUUGCUUAAGCAAUGGGGGACUCUUGAGGCAUCAACAGCAGGAAUGAAAAACCCUUUGGGAAGUGGAGAAG